AAAGUUUUCAGCUCAACCGCUGGGGGCAUCCUCCAAGACAAGCCAAGUUGAAGGAUGGACUCAAGUCACUCCUAAGAAAUUGCAUAAGAAGCAUACGUCUCCUCCACAUGUUCGCCAAUCGAAAAGGGGGCAAAGCAGCUCUUGUCAACCUUCAAAGCAACAUGAACGUGUUGAAGAUGAUGAAAUUUCGACACAUAGAUCAUCCAUCCCCAUCACGAUGCGCGAUUUCUUUCCUGAAGACUUCUUCCAUCACUCGGUCAAGGCUCCUUGCUAUGAAGAUUGCUAGGAACGACUCUCUCAGAUCGCUUGACGAACCAAAGCUCCUUGUCCGCACGAGCCUAAACUGUAGGACACGAAGCUCCUUGUUCGUACGAGCCUAAACUGCAUGGCACAACGCUCCUGGUCUGCA
rnacentral:lncRNA from 1 species